rnacentral:rRNA from 1 species
UAGGGAAUCUUCGGCAAUGGACGGAAGUCUGACCGAGCAACGCCGCGUGAGUGAAGAAGGUUUUCGGAUCGUAAAGCUCUGUUGUUAGAGAAGAACGUUGGUAGGAGUGGAAAAUCUACCAAGUGACGGUAACUAACCAGAAAGGGACGGCUAACUACGUGCCAGCAGCCGCGGUAAUACGUAGGUCCCGAGCGUUGUCCGGAGUUAUUGGGCGUAAAGCGAGUGCAGGCGGUUCUUUAAGUCUGAAGUUAAAGGCAGUGGCUUAACCAUUGUACGCUUUGGAAACUGGAGGACAUGAGUGCAGAAGGGGAGGGUGGAAUUCCAUGUGUAGCGGUGAAAUGCGUAGAUAUAUGGAGGAACACCGGUGGCGAAAGCGGCUCUCUGGUCUAUAACUGACGAUGAGGCAAGAAAGCGUGGGGAGCAAACAGG